rnacentral:rRNA from 1 species
UCCUACGGGAGGCAGCAGUGGGGAAUAUUGCACAAUGGGCGAAAGCCUGAUGCAGCGACGCCGCGUGAGGGAUGACGGCCUUCGGGUUGUAAACCUCUUUCAGCAGGGAAGAAGCUUUUGUGACGGUACCUGCAGAAGAAGCACCGGCUAACUACGUGCCAGCAGCCGCGGUAAUACGUAGGGUGCGAGCGUUGUCCGGAAUUAUUGGGCGUAAAGAGCUUGUAGGCGGUUUGUCGCGUCUGCUGUGAAAAUUCAGGGCUUAACCCUGGACGUGCAGUGGGUACGGGCAGACUAGAGUGUGGUAGGGGAGACUGGAAUUCCUGGUGUAGCGGUGGAAUGCGCAGAUAUCAGGAGGAACACCGAUGGCGAAGGCAGGUCUCUGGGCCAUUACUGACGCUGAGAAGCGAAAGCAUGGGGA